rnacentral:rRNA from 1 species
CCUUCUCCCCCCUGGUUUUUUCACAAAACAUGCGCCUUUUGAGAAUAAUUUAAGGUCUGGGCCUGCCCAAUGCAUAAGUUUAAUGGCCGCGGUAUUUUGACCGUGCAAAGGUAGCAUAAUCAUUAGUUUUUUAAUUGAAAGCUGGUAUGAAAGGUUAGAUGAAAAAAUUUCUGUCUCUGUUUAAUUUAAAUUGAAUUUUAUUUUUAAGUUAAAAAGCUUAAAUAAUUAUAGAAGACGAGAAGACCCUAUAGAGUUUAAUUAAAAGUUUUAUUUAAUUUUUAAGGAUUUAUUGUUUUUAGUAAAGAAUUUAAUUUAAUUGGGGUGAUUGAAAAAUUUAAAAAACUUUUUUUAAAGAUAAACAUUGAUUUAUGAAAAUUUGAUCCUUUUUUUAAGAUAAAAAGAUAAAAAUACCUUAGGGAGAACAGCGUAAUUUUUUUGGAGAGUUCAAAUCGAUAAAAAAAAUUGCGACCUCGAUGGUGGAUAAAAACUGAAUUUUGGUGUAGUAAGCGAGAUAGGUUAAGUCUGUCCUACAUUUAAAAAGGUAUGUGUUUUUAAUAGCAAGCCCGAGGA